rnacentral:rRNA from 1 species
CCUACGGGUGGCAGCAGUGAGGAAUAUUGGUCAAUGGACGCAAGUCUGAACCAGCCAUGCCGCGUGCAGGAAGACGGCUCUAUGAGUUGUAAACUGCUUUUGUACGAGGGUAAACGCAGAUACGCGUAUCUGUCUGAAAGUAUCGUACGACUAAGGAUCGGCUAACUCCGUGCCAGCAGCCGCGGUAAUACGGAGGAUUCAAGCGUUAUCCGGAUUUAUUGUGUUUAAAGGGUGCGUAGGCGGUCGGAUAAGUUAGAGGUGAAAUCCCGAGGCUCAACUUCGGAAUUGCCUCUGAUACUGUUCGGCGAGAGAGUAGUUGCGGUAGGCGGAAUGUAUGGUGUAGCGGUGAAAUGCUUAGAGAGCAUACAGAACACCGAUUGCGAAGGCAGCUUACCAAGCUACUUCUGACGUUGAGGCACGAAAGCGUGGGGAGCAAACAGGAUUAGAGACCCUUGUAGUC